rnacentral:rRNA from 1 species
UACAGAGGGUGCAAGCGUUGCUCGGAAUUACUGGGCGUAAAGCGCGUGUAGGUGGCUUCGCGAGUCCGAUGUGAAAGCCCAGGGCUCAACCCUGGAAGUGCAUUGGAUACUACGGAGCUGGAGGCCUGGAGAGGUGGGUGGAAUUCCCGGUGUAGAGGUGAAAUUCGUAGAUAUCGGGAGGAACACCAGUGGCGAAGGCGGCUCACUGGACAGGUCCUGACACUGAGACGCGAAAGCGUGGGUAGCAAACAGG